AGCGAACGCUGGCGGCAGGCCUAACACAUGCAAGUCGAACGGACCCUUCGGGGUUAGUGGCGGACGGGUGAGUAACACGUGGGAACGUGCCUUUAGGUUCGGAAUAGCUCCUGGAAACGGGUGGUAAUGCCGAAUGUGCCCUUCGGGGGAAAGAUUUAUCGCCUUUAGAGCGGCCCGCGUCUGAUUAGCUAGUUGGUGAGGUAAUGGCCCACCAAGGCGACGAUCAGUAGCUGGUCUGAGAGGAUGACCAGCCACAUUGGGACUGAGACACGGCCCAAUCUCCUCCGGGAGGCAGCAGUGUGGAAUCUGGCGCAAUGGGCGAAAGCCUGACGCAGCCAUGCCGCGUGGAUGAUGAAGGUCUUAGGAUUGUAAAAUCCUUUCACCGGUGAAGAUAAUGACUGUAGCCGGAGAAGAAGCCCCGGCUAACUUCGUGCCAGCCGCCGCAGUAA
rnacentral:rRNA from 1 species